rnacentral:rRNA from 1 species
CAGCCGCCACGGGAAUACGUAGGGGGCAAGCGUUAUCCGGAAUAACUGGGCGUAAAGGGUGCGCAGGUGGUUUAACAAGUUAGUGGUGAAAGGCAUAGGCUCAACCAAUGUAAGCCAUUGAAACUGUUUAACUUGAGUGCAGGAGAGGAAAGUGGAAUUCCUAGUGUAGCGGUGAAAUGCGUAGAUAUUAGGAGGAAUACCAGUGGCGAAGGCGACUUUCUGGACUGCAACUGACACUGAGGCACGAAAGCGUGGGGAGCAAACAGGAUUAGAUACCCGUGUAGUCCCUGUCUCUUAUACA